GAUUGCCUCAGAUAACGGCGAGUGAAGCGGCAACAGCUCAAAUUUGAAAUCUGGUCUUCCGGGCCCGAGUUGUAAUUUGCAGAGGGAGUUUCGGAGGCGACACCGGCCUAAGUUCCUUGGAACGGGGCGUCAUAGAGGGUGAGAAUCCCGUACGGGGCCGGUGGUCAAGUCCAUGUGAAACCCUUUCGACGAGUCGAGUUGUUUGGGAAUGCAGCUCAAAAUGGGUGGUAAAUUUCAUCUAAAGCUAAAUACCGGCCAGAGACCGAUAGCGCACAAGUAGAGUGAUCGAAAGAUGAAAAGCACUUUGGAAAGAGAGUUAAAAAGUACGUGAAAUUGUUGAAAGGGAAGCGCUUGCGACCAGACUUGUCCGCGGGUGAUCAGCCCCCCCUUUCGGGAGGGUGCACUCGCCCGUGGUCAGGCCAGCAUCGGUUUCGGCGGGCGGAUAAAGGCCCCAGGAAUGUAGCUCCCCUCGGGGAGUGUUAUAGCCUGGGGUGCCAUGCGCCCCGCCGGGACCGAGGACCGCGCUUCGGCUAGGAUGCUGGCGUAAUGGUCGUAAGCGACCCGUCUUGAAACACGGACCAAGGAGUCUAACAUCUGUGCGAGUGUUUGGGUGUCAAACCCAUGCGCGGAAUGAAAGUGAACGGAGGUGGGAACCCCUUCCGGGGGGCGCACCAUCGACCCGAUCCUGAUGUCUUCGGAUGGAUUUGAGUAGGAGCAUGGCUGUUGGGACCCGAAAGAUGGUGAACUAUGCCUGGAUAGGGUGAAGCCAGAGGAAACUCUGGUGGAGGGCUCGCAGCGGUUCUGACGUGCAAAUCGAUCGUCAAAUCUGGGUAUAGGGGCGAAAGGUCAGUGCAUUAUUUCCUUUGGUGGCUUCGGGCGGUGGGGUGAAGACUUGCUAACAUUUUUUCCAGACUAAUCGAACCAUCUAGUAUGCGAAGCCACUACUAGAGACACUGAUCGGAAGGGGGCCGGAAAUGGCCUCAGUAGUCCCCCGUUUUGGGGGGCAACAUCGCCGGUCUUCGGGGACGCCUCUGGGCUACCCGCACUGAGCUCGGGCUCAGUCACAGACUAAGUGGCGGUGGCCGCAUCGCCUGCGGUUAGGAUAUAGUCGGCGGCCUCUGACGGGUA
rnacentral:rRNA from 1 species